UACGGAGGAUGCGAGCGUUAUCCGGAUUUAUUGGGUUUAAAGGGUGCGUAGGCGGACUGUUAAGUCAGCGGUAAAAGCCCGGGGCUCAACCCCGGCGAGCCGUUGAAACUGGCUGUCUUGAGAUGUCGAGAGGUAUGCGGAAUGCGCAGCGUAGCGGUGAAAUGCUUAGAUAUUGCGCAGAACUCCGAUUGCGAAGGCAGCAUACCGGCGGCGAUCUGACGCUGAGGCACGAAAGCGUGGGUAUCGAACAGG
rnacentral:rRNA from 1 species